rnacentral:rRNA from 1 species
CCCUGCCCUUUGUACACACCGCCCGUCGCUCCUACCGACUGAAUGGUCUGGCAAAGUGCUCGGAUCGCUAUGAUGUUAGGUGGUUUGCCGCUCAUGAUGUUGCGAGAAGUCCAUUGAACCUUACCAUUUAUAGGAAGGAGAAGUUGUAAUAAGGUUUUCGUAGGUGAACCUGCGGAAGGAUCAUUA